rnacentral:rRNA from 1 species
GCUUACGACCAUACCAGCCUGNNUACGCCCGAUCUCGUCCGAUCUCGGAAGCUAAGCAGGGUCGGGCCUGGUUAGUACUUGGAUGGGAGACCGCCUGGGAAUACCAGGUGCUGUAAGCAU